GACGAACGCUGGCGGCGUGCUUAACACAUGCAAGUCGAACGGAAAGGCCCUGCUUUUGUGGGGUGCUCGAGUGGCGAACGGGUGUGUAACACGUGAGUAACCUGCCCCUGACUUUGGGAUAACUCCAGGAAACUGCGGCUCAUACCGGGUAUGAGCUCCUGCUGCAUGUUGGGGGUUGGAAAGUUUCGGCGGUUGGGGAUGGACUCGCGGCUUAUCAGCUUGUUGGUGGGGUAGUGGCUUACCAAGGCUGUGACGGGUAGCCGGCCUGAGAGGGUGACCGGCCACAUUGGGACUGAGAUACGGCGCAGACUCCUACGGGAGGCAGGAGUGGGGAAUAUUGCACAAUGGGGAGAAGCCUGAUGCAGCAACGCCGCGUGCGGGAUAAGGGCCUUCGGGUUGUAAACCGCUUUCGCCGGUGAUGAAGUGUGAGUGACGGUAAUGGGUAAGAAAGCAACGGCUAACUACGUG
rnacentral:rRNA from 1 species